rnacentral:rRNA from 1 species
AGUGAACGCUGGCGGUAGGCCUAACACAUGCAAGUCGAACGGCAGCACAGUAAGAGCUUGCUCUUACGGGUGGCGAGUGGCGGACGGGUGAGGAAUACAUCGGAAUCUACUUUUUCGUGGGGGAUAACGUAGGGAAACUUACGCUAAUACCGCAUACGACCUACGGGUGAAAGCAGGGGACCUUCGGACUUUGCGCGAUUGAUUGAGCCGAUGUCGGAUUAGCUAGUUGGCGGGGUAAAGGCCCACCAAGGCGACGAUCCGUAGCUGGUCUGAGAGGAUGAUCAGCCACACUGGAACUGAGACACGGUCCAGACUCCUACGGGAGGCAGCAGUGGGGAAUAUUGGACAAUGGGCGCAAGCCUGAUCCAGCCAUACCGCGUGGGUGAAGAAGGCCUUCGGGUUGUAAAGCCCUUUUGUUGGGAAAGAAAAGCAGCAGGUUAAUACCCCGCUGUUCUGACGGUACCCAAAGAAUAAGCACCGGCUAACUUCGUG